rnacentral:snRNA from 1 species
AGCUUUGCACAGUAGCAGUAUUGUAGCCCAUGAGGUUUAUCGGGGCACAAUCAUUGCUAAUUGAAAACUUUUCCCAAUACCCCACCAUGACAACUUGAAAUAUAGUCAGAAAUUAUAAUAAUAA